rnacentral:rRNA from 1 species
UGGGGAAUUUUGGACAAUGGGGGAAACCCUGAUCCAGCCAUCCCGCGUGUGCGAUGAAGGCCUUCGGGUUGUAAAGCACUUUUGGCAGGAAAGAAACGUCGCGGGUUAAUACCCCGCGAAACUGACGGUACCUGCAGAAUAAGCACCGGCUAACUACGUGCCAGCAGCCGCGGUAAUACGUAGGGUGCAAGCGUUAAUCGGAAUUACUGGGCGUAAAGCGUGCGCAGGCGGUUCGGAAAGAAAGAUGUGAAACCCCACGAGCUUAACUUUGGAACUGCAUUUUUAACUACCGGGCUAGAGUGUGUCAGAGGGGAGGUGGAAUUCCGCGUGUAGCAGUGAAAUGCGUAGAUAUGCGGAGGAACACCGAUGGCGAAGGCAGCCUCCUGGGAUAACACUGACGCUCAUGCACGAAAGCGUGGGGAGCAAACAGGAUUAGAUACCCUGGUAGUCCACGCCCUAAACGAUGUCAACUAGCUGUUGGGGGCCUUCGGGCCUUGGUAGCGCAGCUAACGCGUGAAGUUGACCGCCUGGGGAGUACGGUCGCAAGAUUAAAACUCAAAUGAAUUGACGGGGGUCGAUACU